GACGAACGCUGGCGGCGUGCCUAACACAUGCAAGUUGAGCGACGAACCAGGGCUUGCCCUGGGGCAAAGCAGCGAACGGGUGAGUAACACGUGGGUAACCUACCCCGAUAACCGGGACAACCCGAGGAAACUCGGGCUAAUACCGGAUGUGCUCACUGGACUUCGGUUCAGUGCGUAAAGUAAGCUUCGGCCUCCGUAUCGGGAGGGGCCCGCGGCCCAUUAGUUUGUUGGUGAGGUAACGGCUCACCAAGACCGCGAUGGGUAGCUGGUCUGAGAGGACGAUCAGCCACACUGGGACUGAGACACGGCCCAGACUCCUACGGGAGGCAGCAGUGGGGAAUCUUGCGCAAUGCGCGAAAGCGUGACGCAGCAACGCCGCGUGGGGGAAGAAGGCCUUCGGGUUGUAAAACCCUUUCAGGAGGGACGAAGGUUCGGCGGUGAAUAGCCGUCCGGACUGACGGUACCUCCACAAGAAGCCCCGGCUAACUACGUG
rnacentral:rRNA from 1 species